rnacentral:rRNA from 1 species
GACGAACGCUGGCGGCGUGCUUAACACAUGCAAGUCGAACGGAAAGGCCCUGCUUUUGUUGGGUGCUCGAGUGGCGAACGGGUGAGUAACACGUGAGUAACCUGCCCUUGACUUUGGGAUAACUUCAGGAAACUGGGGCUAAUACCGGAUAGGAGCUCCUGCUGCAUGGUGGGGGUUGGAAAGUUUCGGCGGUUGGGGAUGGACUCGCGGCUUAUCAGCUUGUUGGUGGGGUAGUGGCUUACCAAGGCUUUGACGGGUAGCCGGCCUGAGAGGGUGACCGGCCACAUUGGGACUGAGAGACGGCACAGACUCGUACGGGAGGCAGCAGGGGGGAAUAUUGCACAAUGGGCGGAAGCCUGAUGCAGGAACGCCGCGUGCGGGAUGACGGCCUUCGGGUUGUAAACAGCUUUCGCCUGUGACGAAGCGGGAGGGACGGUAAUGGGUAAAGAAGCACCGGCUAACUACGU